rnacentral:rRNA from 1 species
GACGAAGGGGGCUAGCGUUGUUCGGAAUUACUGGGCGUAAAGCGUGUGUAGGUGGUUGUCAUAGUCAGGUGUGAAAGCCUUGAGCUCAACUCAAGAAAUGCACUUGAUACUGGGCAGCUAGAGGACCGGAGAGGAUAGUGGAAUUCCCAGUGUAGUGGUGAAAUUCGUAGAUAUUCGGAAGAACACCAGUGGCGAAGGCGGCUCACUGGACAUGUAUUGACGCUGAGGUGCGAAAGCGUGGGGAGCAAACAGG